rfam:Magnaporthe oryzae 70-15 chromosome 3, whole genome shotgun sequence.
GGCCCGGUGGCGUAAUGGUAGCGCGUCUGACUACGAUUGAGGAAAUCAGCCAUCAGGAGGCUGCAGGUUCGAGACCUGCCCGGGUCG